AUUGAACGCUGGCGGCAGGCCUAACACAUGCAAGUCGAACGGUUGGCGGACGGUUGAUUAAUUUCGGGGAAACUUCCUGAUGGGGGGGGAUAAUUCCUGGAAACGGUGGCAAUUACCGCAUACCAUCGGAUGUGCCCAGAUGGGAUUAGCUAGUAGGUGGGGUAAAGGCUCACCUAGGCGACGAUCCCUAGCUGGUCUGAGAGGAUGACCAGCCACACUGGAACUGAGACACGGUCCAGACUCCUACGGGAGGCAGCAGUGGGGAAUAUUGCACAAUGGGCGCAAGCCUGAUGCAGCCAUGCCGCGUGUAUGAAGAAGGCCUUCGGGUUGUAAAGUACUUUCAGCGGGGAGGCGUUACCCGCAGAAGAAGCACCGGCUAACUCCGUGCCAGCAGCCGCGGUAAUAC
rnacentral:rRNA from 1 species